rnacentral:rRNA from 1 species
GCUCAAAUUUGAAAUCUCCCACCAGGGCGAAUUGUAGUUUAAAGAGUCGCAAUCGAAGACCGACGUGCACAAGUUCUUUGGAACGAGACAUCAGAGAGGGUGAGAAUCCCGUGGAUGGUGCGUCUGUGUUUUUGUGUGAGGCGUGCUCGAAGAGUCGGUUUGUUUGGGAAUGCAGACCAAAUGGGUGGUAAAUAGCAUCCAAGGCUAAAUAUUGGCGAGAGACCGAUAGCGAACAAGUACCGUGAGGGAAAGAUGAAAAGAACUUUGAAAAGAGAGUUAAAAGUGCGUGAAAUUGUCAAAAGGGAAACGUUUGGAACCAGUUGGGACAGUGCAAAGCACACCAUUGGUGUGUGGUCGUACGUCUGGGCCAGGAGGGGUUUGGUGUGGGUGAAAAAGCCCAGGGAAGGUAGCCAUUGGUGUUAUAGCCCUGGGUGAUAGCCUGUGCUGGACUUUUGCUGGCGAAAUGGGUUCAAGCGACCCGUCUUGAAACACGGACCAAGGAGUCUAACAUGUAUGCGAGUAUUUGGGUGGCAAACCCUGAUGCGAAAUGAAAGUGAAAGGGUGGGAUCCUCGGAGCACCAUCGGCCGCAUCCUGCGCAGGCAGGGUGUGAGCACGAGCAUAUAUGCUGGGACCCGAAAGAUGGUGAACUAUGCCUGAAUAGGGUGAAGCCAGAGG